rnacentral:rRNA from 1 species
CAAGAGCGUAUGUAAAAGUUGUUGCAGUUAAAAAGCUCGUAGUUGAACCUUGGGUUUGGUUGGCCGGUCCGCUUUUUUGCGAGUACUGGAUUCAACCGAGCCUUUCCUUCUGGCUAACCAGUCGUUUCGGCGGCUGGCGAACCAGGAUUUUUACUUUGAGAAAACUAGAGUGUUCAAAGCAGGCAUUAGCUUGAAUAUAUUAGCAUGGAAUAAUAGAAUAGGACGUUAUGGUUCUAUUUUGUUGGUUUCUAGGACCAUCGUAAUGAUUAAUAGGGACGGUCGGGGGCAUCAGUAUUCAGUUGUCAGAGGUGAAAUUCUUGGAUUUACUGAAGACUAACUACUGCGAAAGCAUUUGCCAAGGACGUUUUCAUUAA